GUUUAGCUGUUACAGAGUCCUCUGCUAUUGGUUUAAGAGAAACAUGUGAAACGGACCUAUAUAAGAACCGUAUAGGGGCAUGCUCCCUGAGUACUGAGGCAGAAAUGAGGACGUGGACAGUGUGGUGUGUGGCCAUGUACUUCUUUGAAGCAAGAGCUAAAAUCACCCAAACCUCAGGUCUUGUGCUGAAAGAAGAUGAGAAAGCUAUGCUGGCAUGCAGUCAAAAUGACAAUCAUCCUUCUAUGUACUGGUACCUGCAGCUGCCAGGGAAGGGACUGCAACUGAUCUAUUAUUCCUUUGCUGUAAAUCAGGAAAAAGAAGGUGAUGUUCACAUUGGAUACAAAGCUAACCGGUUAAGCCUGGCAGAGUUCUAUUUGGAGAUUUUAUCUGUGAAGAUGAACCACUCAGCUGUCUACUUCUGCGCCAGCAGUGUAGACACAACACUUCAAAGUCACUUGCUUGCUUUACACAAACUGCCGGCGGGCAGGUCUCCCAGCGCAGCAGCACAGCACAGGUGCGGGGCCAGCAGCCGGCUCGCAGCCAGCUGUGGUGCGGCAGCUGGAGCCCGGGGGGCAGAACGAGUCUCUGAACUGCAGGCUGAUCGCUGAUCGCCUCUUUCCUGGUCAUCCAUUCAUUCUCUAUCUUAUCAGAACCAUCAACAAAGUUAGUUUAACCAAAUGCAGCCAUAAAAUAAAGGAAAAGGAAACUGCAAUCUACACGGCCACAAACUAUUGUCCCCUAAGCCAUUUUCUUACCUGACACAGGUCCUAGAAAUAUAUACAUCUAAGUCUGAAAUACUUUAGAGAUAGUGACUUGUAUGUGCCCUGCUAUCCCAAUGCUUUUCACUGUGCUUGGAAAGGUCAUCCUAAUCAAAAGAAACCUGUAGAACUAAG